rnacentral:rRNA from 1 species
AACGAACGCUGGCGGCAUGCCUAACACAUGCAAGACGAACGAGACCUUCGGGUCUAGUGGCGCACGGGUGCGUAACGCGUGGGAACCUGCCCUUAGGUUCGGAAUAACUCCCCGAAAGGGGUGCUAAUACCGGAUAAUGUCUUCGGACCAAAGAUUUAUCGCCUUUGGAUGGGCCCGCGUUGGAUUAGCUAGUUGGUAGGGUAAAAGCCUACCAAGGCGACGAUCCAUAGCUGGUCUGAGAGGAUGAUCAGCCACACUGGGACUGAGACACGGCCCAGACUCCUCCGGGAGGCAGCAGUGGGGAAUAUUGGACAAUGGGCGAAAGCCUGAUCCAGCAAUGCCGCGUGAGUGAUGAAGGCCUUAGGGUUGUAAAGCUCUUUUACCCGGGAUGAUAAUGACAGUACCGGGAGAAUAAGCUCCGGCUAACUCCGU